CAUGCAGUCGAGCGGAAAGGCCUUCGGUACUCGAGCGGCGAACGGGUGAGUAACACGUGAGAACCUGCCCCAGCUUUGGGAUAACCCCGGGAAACCGCUAAUACCGAAUAUGACCUCUGACCGCAUGUUGGUGGUGGAAAGUUUUUCGGUUUGGAAUGGGCUCCCGGCCUAUCAGCUUGUUGGGGGGGGGAGGGCCUACCAAGGCGACGACGGGAAGCCGGCCUGAGAGGGCGACCGGCCACACUGGGACUGAGACACGGCCCAGACUCCUACGGAAGGCAGCAGGGGGAAUAUUGCACAAUGGGCGGACCGUGAAUGCAGCGACGCCGCGUGAGGAAUGACGGCCUUCGGGUUGUAAACCUCUUUCAGCAGGGACGAAGCGUAAGUGAUGGAACCUGCAGAAGAAGCCCCGGCCAAUUACGUGCCAGCAGCCGCGGAAAAACGUAGGCCGCGAGGUUGUCCGGAUUUAUUGGGCGAAAAGAGCUCGAAGGCGCUUUGUCGCGCCGACCGUGAAAAUUUGGGGUUCAACCCCAAGCCUGCGGCCGAAACGGCCAGGCUAAAGUUCGGAAGGGAAGAU
rnacentral:rRNA from 1 species